rnacentral:rRNA from 1 species
AUUGAACGCUGGCGGCAGGCCUAACACAUGCAAGUCGAACGAGUGGCGGACGGGUGCGUAAUGUCUGGGAAACUGCCUGAUGGAGGGGGAUAACUACUGGAAACGGUAGCUAAUACCGCAUACCAUCAGAUGUGCCCAGAUGGGAUUAGCUAGUUGGUGGGGUAACGGUUCACCAAGACGACGCUCCCUAGCUGGUCUGAGAGGAUGACCAGCCACAAUGGAACUGAGACACGGUCCAGACUCCGACGGGAGGCAGCAGUGGGGAAUAUUGCACAAUGGGCGCAAGCCGGAUGCAGCCAUGCCGCGUGUAUGAAGAAGGCCUUCGGGUUGUAAAGUACUUUCAGCGGGGAGGCGUUACCCGUAGAAGACGCACCGGCUAACUCCGUGCCAGCAGCCGCGGUAAUAC